UACGGAGGGUGCGAGCGUUGUCCGGAAUUACUGGGCGUAAAGCGUGCGCAGGCGGUUGUGUAAGACAGAUGUGAAAUCCCCGGGCUCAACCUGGGAACUGCAUUUGUGACUGCACGGCUGGAGUGCGGCAGAGGGGGAUGGAAUUCCGCGUGUAGCAGUGAAAUGCGUAGAUAUGCGGAGGAACACCGAUGGCGAAGGCAAUCCCCUGGGCCUGCACUGACGCUCAUGCACGAAAGCGUGGGGAGCAAACAGG
rnacentral:rRNA from 1 species